ACGGAGGGAGCAAGCGUUGUUCGGAUUUACUGGGCGUAAAGGGCGUCUAGGCGGACUGAUAAGUCAGAUGUGAAAUACCUCGGCUCAACCGGGGAAUUGCAUUUGAUACUGUCGGUCUUGAGUACGGAAGAGGGAAGCGGAAUUCCUGGUGUAGCGGUGAAAUGCGUAGAUAUCAGGAAGAACACCGGUGGCGAAGGCGGCUUCCUAGUCCGUUACUGACGCUGAAGCGCGAAAGUGUGGGGAGCAAACAG
rnacentral:rRNA from 1 species